UGUUUGCACGAGAAAUUGAUCGAGU
rnacentral:rasiRNA from 1 species